ACUACUUAUCAUAAAUUAGUAUAAUUGGGUCUGUAGACUCUCCACCCAUUUUGACCGAUUCGUCCGAAACAUUGAAACCAUUCUGAACGAAUGUGGAAUUACUGUUAAAGCCUUUGAAUUUACAUCCAGUCCAGUCAAAGACGAUAAUUGACAAGUUUGCUGCUGUGGGAAUACUCCAGGGAUACCUGGAUUAUGUUAACAGGAAGAUGAAGUUGGAAGCAGCAGAGUAAGAUGUCUCUAAAUGGAUGUAAGUUGCUUGUUAUCCAUGUACAUAACAGGACUGUUUAAUGAAUGUUGUACUCACAAGUCACAACAUAGAUGUACCUCUGUUUUUGAGUUUCACAAUUUCCUUAGCUUUUGCUUUGUAAUUUUUGAACUGUUUGUGUUCAUCAUCAAUGAACAUGAAGUGUUUUCAUUUUUUAAUAGAUCUAUUCUACUUAAUACUUAUAAAAAAAUAGAGAAAAGUCACAAGUCACAACAUAGUUGUUGAAGCAAUAUUAUGUGACAAUUUAGUUCAUUGUCACGUUUCACUUGAGUUGCCCUGAAAUCAUGGUCCUACAGGAAUAAAAAAUUGCAAUUUAAAAAAAAAAAAAAACUGCCUAUUCAUUAAAAGCACGUCUUUGAUAAUCCGAUGAAUUACUAUAGCUCUCUGGCAAGGCAGGCAUUGGGUGGAACUGUGGAUGCAUGGAGCAUUUAUUGAAGACAGCUAGAAACCAAGUGGAUUAUUUAAAUCUUUACAUGCUCUAUAAUUUGUUGUAAGAUUUGUUAAUGAAUGUGAUGGGAACUUUAUGAAUGUAAUUUCUUUUUCUUUUAAAAAUUCUAUUAGAAAAAAAAAAGAAAAGAAAAUAUGGUUUU